UCUACGGGAGCCAGCAGUGGGGAAUAUUGCACAAUGGGGGCACCCCAGAUGCACCAAGGCUGCCAAAGUGAAGAAGGUUUUCCGAUCGUAAAGCCAUGUCCACUGAGAAGACGAUGACGGUACCUGCAGAAGAAGGCCCGGCUAACUUCGUGCCAGCAGCCGCGGUAAUA
rnacentral:rRNA from 1 species